GACGGACGACGCCGCGUGGAGGAAGAAGUUUUCGGAGCGUAAACUCCUGUCAUCAGGGACGAAAGAAUGACGGUACCCGAGGAGGAAGCAUCGGCUAACUACGUGCCAGCAGCCGCGGUAAUACGUAGGAUGCAAGCGUUGUUCGGAAUUACUGGGCGUAAAGCGUACGUAGGCGGUGACAUAAGUUUAAUAUUAAAGACCGAAGCUCAACUUCGGGAAUGUAUUGAAUACUGUGUUGCUAGAGGUUGAUAGAGGGAAUCGGAAUUCUCAGUGUAGCGGUGAAAUGCGUAGAUAUUGGGAAGAACACCGGUGGCGAAAGCGGAUUCCUGGGUCAAUACUGACGCUGAGGUACGAAAGUGUGGGGAGCAAACAGGAUUAGAUACCCUGGUAGUCCACACGGUAAACGAUGGAUACUAGCUGUAAUGGGAUUCGACCCCUAUUGUGGCGAAGCAAACGCGAUAAGUAUCCCGNCUGNGGAGUAUGGCCGCAAGGUUGAAACUCAAAGGAAUUGACGGGGGCCCGCACAAGCGGUGGAGGAUGUGGUUUAAUUCGACGCAACGCGAAA
rnacentral:rRNA from 1 species